rnacentral:rRNA from 1 species
CUCUGUGACUCCUACGGGAGGCAGCAGUGGGGAAUAUUGCACAAUGGGCGCAAGCCUGAUGCAGCAACGCCGUGUGAGUGAAGAAGGUUUCGGAUCGUAAAACUCUGUCCUAAGGGAAGAAACAAAUGACGGUACCUUAGGAGGAAGCCCCGGCUAACUACGUGCCAGCAGCCGCGGUAAUACGUAGGGGGCAAGCGUUAUCCGGAAUCACUGGGCGUAAAGGGUGCGUAGGCGGCUUAGCAAGCCAGGGGUGAAAGGCAUUGGCUCAACCAAUGUAAGCCUUUGGAACUGUUAAGCUUGAGUGCAGGAGAGGUAAGUGGAAUUCCUAGUGUAGAGGUGAAAUUCGUAGAUAUUAGGAGGAACACCAGUGGCGAAGGCGACUUACUGGACUGUAACUGACGCUGAUGCACGAAAGCGUGGGUAGCGAACAGGAUUAGAUACCCUGGAG